GGGUAUUGGCCUACCGUGGCAAUGACGGGUAACGGGGAAUUAGGGUUCGAUUCCGGAGAGGGAGCCUGAGAAACGGCUACCACAUCUAAGGAAGGCAGCAGGCGCGCAAAUUACCCAAUCCUAAUACAGGGAGGUAGUGACAAGAAAUAACAAUACAGGACUUUUUGGUUUUGUAAUUGGAAUGAGUUAAGUAUAAACCCCUUUACAAGUAUCAAUUGGAGGGCAAGUCUGGUGCCAGCAGCCGCGGUAAUUCCAGCUCCAAUAGCGUAUAUUAAAGUUGUUGCAGUUAAAAAGCUCGUAGUUGGAUUUCUGUUAAUAAUUUAUAUAAAAUAUUUUGAUGAAUAUUUAUAUAAUAUUAACAUAAUUCAUAUUACUAUAUAUUUUAGUAUAUGAAAUUUUACUUUGAGAAAAUUAGAGUGCUUAAAGCAGGCAUAUGCCUUGAAUACUCCAGCAUGGAAUAAUAUUAAAGAUUUUUAUCUUUCUUAUUGGUUCUAAGAUAAGAAUAAUGAUUAAUAGGGACAGUUGGGGGCAUUUGUAUUUAACAGUCAG
rnacentral:rRNA from 1 species